rnacentral:rRNA from 1 species
CCUACGGGCGGCAGCAGUAGGGAAUAUUGCUCAAUGGGGGAAACCCUGAAGCAGCAACGCCGCGUGGAGGAUGAAGGUUUUAGGAUUGUAAACCCCUUUUGUUAGAGAAGAUUAUGACGGUAUCUAACGAAUAAGCACCGGCUAACUCCGUGCCAGCAGCCGCGGUAAUACGGAGGGUGCAAGCGUUACUCGGAAUCACUGGGCGUAAAGAGUGCGUAGGCGGGGUAAUAAGUCAGAUGUGAAAUCCUGUGGCUUAACUACAGAACUGCAUUUGAAACUGGUAUUCUGGAGUAUGGGAGAGGUAGGUGGAAUGCUUGGUGUAGGGGUAAAAUGCGUAGAUAUCAAGAGGAAUACUGAUUGCGAAGGCGACCUGCUAGAACAUAACUGACGCUGAUGCGCGAAAGCGUGGGGAGCAAACAGGAUUAGAUACCCCUGUAGUC